GAAAAGUAGGUGUAAGUGGGGUUAAGGUUGUUCGGGCAACCAGGAACCAUUAGAGAGUUACGUUGCGCGCGCACACACCCCCCCCUCUCUGGCGGGCUGGGGCAAAACUAGUUCCUGGUGUCCGAUUUGUUAAAGUUUCUACUCCUGGUAAUAUUGACCUUACCUGGUGUGGAUGGAAGUUUGGAGAGUCACUUCGCCUCCACUCUUCUCCUAAUCAGCUCUGUUCCUGGCGUGGUCUUCCAGGAUAGACGCCAGAUAAAGGGGCAAGACGUGUGUUAAUAAUACUUAUUAACAUUAUUCUACAACUACCGGCCCUUACCUAUACUACUUGUGCUCCAUCCAAGUGGUAGGAGAUUCCAGAACAUCGGAUUACCAUCUGCCCAGGAUAACCUACAUAAAUAACAUCAGAGGAACUAUCUAGGGCCAUACCUACUCCUACCCAACAAGAACUGAAGGCCAUUUUUUUUUAUUAUAUUUAAAUUUUAAGUAAAAUUCUCAAAAAUCA